UACGGAAGGCAGCAGUGGGGAAUAUUGCACAAUGGGCGCAAGCCUGAUGCAGCCAUGCCGCGUGUAUGAAGAAGGCCUUCGGGUUGUAAAGUACUUUCAGUCGUGAGGAAGGUGUUAAGGUUAAUAACCUUAGUAAUUGACGUUAGCGACAGAAGAAGCACCGGCUAACUCCGUGCCAGCAGCCGCGGUAAUACGGAGGGUGCGAGCGUUAAUCGGAAUUACUGGGCGUAAAGGGCACGCAGGCGGUUAAUUAAGUUGGAUGUGAAAUCCCCGGGCUUAACCUGGGAAUGGCAUUCAAGACUGGUUAGCUAGAGUCUUGUAGAGGGGGGUAGAAUUCCAUGUGUAGCGGUGAAAUGCGUAGAGAUGUGGAGGAAUACCGGUGGCGAAGGCGGCCCCUGGACAAAGACUGACGCUCAUGUGCGAAAGCGUGGGGAGCGAAACAGGGAUUAGAUACC
rnacentral:rRNA from 1 species